AUGACUUGUGGCCAUGACGUACGUACAUGGUUUUCCUUGUUCUUAAGUUUUUUUGUCGUAAGCACUACCACCGCCGUCACGUUCAACAUCACCAACCGAUGUUCCUACACCGUGUGGCCGGCGGCUAUGCUACUGGACGAUGACAACUGGCCAGUGGGCGGCGGCGGCAUGCGGCUGGACCAAGGGAAGACAUGGACCCUCAACAUGGCUGAUGACAUCAGUAGCGGGGACAUCUGGGCACGAACAGGCUGCUCAUUCGACAGCAAAGGCAACGGGUCGUGCCAGACAGGUGACUGCGGCGGCCUGCUCGCCUGCAAGAACCGUGGUGAGCCGCCCUUCACAACUGCUGAUUUUGCGCUCAACCAGCAUGGCAGCAACACUUUCUUCGAUAUCUCACUCCGCAACGGCUUCAACGUACCCAUGGAGUUCCUGCCAGUGCCGGACAAGGGGCAAGGACUAGGGUGCAGCAAGGGGCCACGCUGCGUGGCCGACAUCACGUCGCAGUGUCCAAGCAAGCUCAAGGCGCCGGGAGGCUGCAGCAGCUCAUGUCAAGUGUUUAACAAUCAGGUGCACUGCUGCACCGGAUCCCACUGUGAACCCACCAAAUACUCGGCCUUCUUUGUGCGGAUGUGCCCGCAAGCAUUAAGCUUCUCCAACCAUGCUCCCAAAGAAACCGACUUCAGUUGCCCGACAGGAGUCAACUACCAGGUAGUCUUCUGCCCCCCGAUCAAUCUAGCAUCUUCGCCGGCUCCAAGUCCUCCUAAUUCAACUGCUAUUGGGCCAUCAAGCACAGGACCCUCAUCCAAAAAAGUAGACACAGUUGUUUCAAUUGCAAUUACAGGGUCUGUAGUCAGUUUCAUUUUAACUACCGCAUUCAUCCUUUUCGUCGUACAUCGAAGACUGACACGACGAUGCCAUGAGAUGGAGGAAGAGGAGGCAGAGUUCGGUAAGCUGCAAGGAACACCGAUGAGGUUCACGUUUCAACAGUUAGAUGUGGCAACCGAGCAAUUCAAAGACAAGCUUGGGGAAGGAGGAUUUGGGUCUGUUUACAAGGGACGGCUAGGUGAGGAAAGGAUUGCGGUAAAACGUUUGGAUCGAGCUGGACAGGGAAAGAGCGAAUUCUUGGCAGAGGUUCAGACAAUCGGCAGCAUUCAUCAUAUCAAUCUGGUGAGGCUGUUUGGUUUCUGCGCUGAGAAAUCCCAUAAGCUCUUGGUUUAUGAGUAUAUGCCAAAAGGAUCAUUGGACAAGUGGAUCUACUGUAGACAUGACAAUACUGCUCCUCCACUAGAAUGGAAGGUACGAUGCAAGAUUAUUACUAACAUAGCUAAGGGUCUCGCUUAUCUUCAUGAGGAGUGCAUGCAGAGAAUUGCUCAUUUGGAUGUCAAACCACAAAAUAUUCUCAUAGAUGACGACUUCAAUGCUAAAAUUUCUGAUUUUGGUUUGUGCAAGCUCAUAGAUAGGGACAUGAGCCAAGUGGUUACUAGAAUGAGAGGCACACCUGGAUAUUUAGCCCCUGAAUGGUUGACAUCACAUAUCACGGAGAAGGCCGAUGUCUAUAGUUUCGGCGUGGUGGUCAUGGAAAUCGUCAGUGGAAGAAAGAACCUUGACACUUGCCGGUCCGAAGAGAGCAUCCAUCUUAUUACUCUAUUGGAAGAAAAGGUGAAGAACGGUCACUUGGUAGAUUUGAUUGACAAGAACAGUAAUGACAUGCAAGCACACGAGCAGGAUGUAAUCCAGAUGAUGAAGCUAGCAAUGUGGUGCUUGCAGAUCGAUUGCAAAAGAAGGCCUAAAAUGUCCGAGGUAGUGAAGGUCUUGGAAGGUACCAUGGAUGCAGAGAGCAGUAUAGAUCACAACUUUGUUGCAACACACCAAGCGAAUUUUGGCAUUGCUGGAAAUGUGAACUCCUCGGCUCCACCUGUAGCCUCACAUCUAUCAGGCCCCAGGUGA
rnacentral:rRNA from 1 species